rnacentral:rRNA from 1 species
AGGAUUAACGCUGGCGGCGUGCCUAACACAUGCAAGUCGAACGCACAUUUAUGUGAGUGGCGGACGGCUGAGUAACACGUUGGUACCUGCCCCGAACUCGGGAAUAAGCACUGGAAACGGUGUCUAAUGCCCGAUAGACUCCUCGGAGUAAAGCUUUUGCGGUUCGGGAGGGCCUGCGCAUGAUUAGUUUGUUGGUGAGGUAAUGGCUCACCAAGACUUCGAUCAUUAGGUGGUCUGAGAGGAUGAUCACCCAGACUGGGACUGAGACACGGCCCAGACUCCUACGGGAGGCAGCAGUGAGGAAUCUUGCACAAUGGGGGAAACCCUGAUGCAGCAAGCCGCGUGGAGGAAGACGGCCCUAGGGUUGUAAACUCCUUUAUUUGGACGAACAUUGACGGUACCAUUGAAUAAGGACCGGCUAACCAUGUGCCAGAGCCGC